UUCUCAUUAGACAAAUUAGACUAUAUAGAAGUUUGGUGAACUGAACCCAACAUUAAUUGGUGCCGAAACCCGGGAUCCGAUACCUGCCCGUCGGGGCGACGGAGGAACAACAGGUCAUUAAACCUGCCGGCAGCCCCGCCGACCUUCACGGAGGGGGACCACCUAGGUGUUGAUCCGCGGCCGUCCCGAGGGACAGUGAAGGAUCCCGUCGAACCAGGACCUCACCGGGAGACAGAAAAACGGUAAAAGUUUUCGUUAUCUUUUAGAAAAAAGUAGUGAGUCGUGUGGAAACCACUAAGAAACUGUAUUCGUGGGUUAGAUAAAAAGCGUGUCAGGGAUACGUUGUCUAGGUCUGGGACCUGGUGGAGAAAUCAGGGAUUUCCAGCCAACCUAAACGACAGUCGUGGGUUAGAUUAAAAACGUGUCAGGGAUACGUUGUCUAGGUCUGGGACCUGGUGGGGAAUCGGGGAUUUCCAACCAACCUAAACGCUGAGAUCUGGGAUUUUCGUGGAGAGACAGUAAAUGGUGGAUUCGAUAGGAUUCACUAUAAACAAGAUAAGAACCUUUUAUUGAAUUAAAGUUAAAAUUAGAAGGGACGUCCCAGGCUCUCCUGAAACCGGGUGACGAAAUCCUGAUAAAGGUCAUCAAAAGGAAGUCCUGGGCGACACCCAAGUGGGAAGGACCGUUCCGAGUACUCAUUACCACCCCAACUGCGGUAAAAAUCGCAGAACGAAGCACCUGGAUACAUCAGUCCCAGUGCAAGAAGUUGACACCAGACGCUGCCCUUGAGUAAGUGGGAAGACGGACGGUAUCAAAACCCUUGUCCGCCGAAGAAACCAACAGACACUCACUCACCAGCCACA